rnacentral:lncRNA from 1 species
AAACACCUAGAUCUAACGACCACAAUUCCUCCCCACCAUAAUAUAAAAACCAAAUAUUUAUCUAACCCUAAACCUAAACACCCCUAACCAAAUGGCACCCCCCCAACUCCCACGCCUUCUGCCCGUCCAAAACUCGCCGGAAAACUCACUGAUUCCGGCGAGUUAACUCAUGGCCCCCCUUUCCCUUCUCUCUUUCUUCCACGUGGCUUGACAAAUAACUGAUUUUGGUUCGAAUCCGCAUUUUGUUUUGUUCUCUCCCACGUGAAUAUAUUUCAACGGUAGAUGAUGGACGAAGGGUAGGAUAUGAUUAAUGAAAAUUAAUCAUACCCCUCCAUUUGCCUAGAUUUUUACUAAAAUGAAGGAGAUUUUCGGAAUUUUGGUGAGAUUUUCGGAUUUUUGAAGUGUUUUUGCGAUUUCUUGCAAAGGAAGGAGAGAAGCUUCGAGAGAGGACUAUAUAUUUGGGUCUGGACAGAGAUGAAGGGGAGACACAAAAAUUUGGAGGAAAGAGGUUAGGAAAGAAAUUAGUGUUCUAAUAGGGAGUUUUUUUUUCUAUUCUCAUUUUUGGUCCAUUUUCGGUUGAGUUCAAAUUCUAGAAAACAAAAUACAAAAAAAUAGAUUGAGUUUGAUUUUUGUUCAAGAAUAGUUCCAUUUUCGAAAAUCAGAAAACUAACACAAAAAUAUAUAUACAUCUCUUUACUGCUUUUCUAUCUUGGAAUUUCAAUUUUGAGUUUUGGUCUGCAAACAUGGAGAUUGCUUGAGGUGCUCGAGCUCGAUCAAAUUGUUGCCCGUUUGUUAAUUCUGGAUGCGGUUCCUUAUUCGAAGUCAGCCCUGUUUUCUCACUCGGAUUCCAGACUCGAAGUUUUUAGCUGAGUUUCUUGUUUUCUAUUAUUAAGAAGAGUUUUGCAAUUUCAGGUUCAUCUCUUUCCUUCUUAUUCUUAUUAAUGGUGAUCGAAAUAUGACAUGAGCCGUAGGGAAUUUGCUUUGUAAUGAUAGAUAUUUGAUCAUAUUUGGUAGAGGUUGUGUUUGGAGUUAGUUUCUAGUUGUGAUUUGUGCUCGAGAAUGCUAUGUGUCAAUCUGUUCUUGUCAUUCUACAUGUUGCAUAUGAUUUGGUUUCACUGUUUUGAGGAGCUUUCUGAAUCUCUAUGCCUAGUUUAUAUGUGUGAUUUGAGUUAGCUAAUCAUAAGGUUAUUAAGCGAAUCAUGAAUCAGUGAUGCGAUUCAUUUGCGGUCUGAAUCAGCGUCGUGUCCGUUUAGUUGGUAAUUUAGUUUGAGAAGAAAUGUAUAUUCAAGUCGUGUUGUCGAGAUUUGCUCAUCACUCCUUAGCUAUUUGGGUUCAUGUUCCUGGAGUGUGUUGAAACCCGAUGUUUUUAAGCCAUCCUAUCGCCCUCUGUUUGGAUAUUUGCAUUAACAUUGCCUUCAAUUUCACCCUCAAUUUGAUUUCCAGCCUCAAAAGCCAUACAACUGAUGCAUAUUCAAUCAUUCUUGUCGGCUUAAUUGAGUUGGAGAAUUAAGUGAGUCUUGGGAUUGCUUUCCAAAUGUACUCUGUUUGUUGUUGCCUUUGUUGGUCGCUUCUAAUGCUCAAGAAACAUACUAUGAAUCCCUGCCAAGAUUAAUUGAGUUUCCUGGUGAGGUAUUUGUUAUUAUCCUCUGUUGAAGUAUGCGCAAAUUUGGUCUCCCUUUGAUCAUAUGUUGGGUGAGACAAACAAAAUUUUAAUUAGUUGUAAUUCCAAUUGUCUUCUCGUGAUUGUUAGUUGUUGAAGCAUCUCAUGGUUUGGGGUUGAAAUUGGCUUGAUCAGUUUUUGUCUCAACAUAUAAAUUAGUAUGAGCAUCGAGUGAUUUGAAGAUGAUCUGUAAUGCUGAAAUUUUCCCAUGCCUUUGUCGUCAAUUAAACUAUCAUUCCCUGAGGCAAAUUUGACUAGUUUCGUGUUCAUAUAAGUUUGGAUCAUGGUGCCUUGCUUCAGAAUUUUAGGAAAGGUUACUGUUUUUGUGAUAAUAUUCUUCUUCAUCAACUUAGAAACUAAAAAGUGAUUGAAUAAGCAGUUUAAGUGAUUGUUUUGUCUAGUGUUAUUGAGUUUGAUUAGAAUAUGUCAGCAAGUCAUGGUUUUCAACUUAAUGCUUUUGGGAGAAUUUUGAUUUAUGAGAAAGUCUAAAUAUUUCCUCAUAGAGUGACAUCUCUUGAUUAGCUUGGUUUGGGUGUUAAUUGAUUAGAGUAGUGUUAGUCUGUUAAUAGAGCAUAUUAUUAUCUUGGUAAAUUAUUUUAGCUUUGAUUGAAUUUGAGUCUUGUUGGUCUUUUAGUCUUAUUGGUCCCAGAUGCUCUUGACAAAAUAAUUAGAAACGUGUCCUUUUAGUUGCCUUGAUCUUUGUUUAAGUCUAACACUAUUUUGUUCACUAUUUUUUUCGUAAGAAUUGAUUGUUUGGGCUUAAUACUUAGUUGAAAUUGUUUUGGUGGUAUUAGUGCUUAACUGUCAGUUUAUGCCUUUAGUUUCUUCAUGAGUUGAUGCUUGACAUGAAGUCACGUACUAAUAGAAGAAGGUUAAGAAACGAAUUGCAUGUUGGACCGUGGAGAUGAGAAAAAGACAACGAAAUUUUUUCUUUUAUUCUAUUUACAUAUUUUAAUUCUUUUUUAUUUUAUUUUUAUUACAAUGCCUGCUAGGAGUAUGCUUAGGCCGACCACACUUGGGUAGGCAAGUCUUAGGAUUUUUAUUAGUGUUGAGCCGAGAGGUCGUUCCCUUAUUUAAAUUUAUCCGGGGAAUGCCCCGAAGGAAUUGUACAUAUUUAUUCUAGGAAAUGCCCCGUAGUAUUCUGUAAUUGGAGGCCGUGGCGAACAUCGUAGAAGAAGUAGCGUAGGAUAAUUUAGAACUUUAAUUUGUCUUCUUUUAAUUUUCUUUCAUUUAGGUAGGGACGACCUCGAGCCUCUUGUGUGUUUAUUACCUCAAUUGAUUAUUUUAAAAGCCAACUUGAUUGAGUUUGCAACCGUACCAGUUACGGGACUUGGGGAUUGCCUAACACCUUCUCCCCGUUAAAUGAACCCCCUUACCCGAAUAUCUGGUGCAGACUUAGUUUUGGAGUCUCAAGUGUUUUGAAAAGAAAAAAAAUUAUUUUUAGAGAAACGGUGACCUGGCACACCGAAAUCAAAGUCAGGUGGCGACUCUGAGUUAACCCUUCUGAACACUAUCUUUUGUCACUUUUAAUUAAAAACCCUUUUGAACUUCAAAAAUCUUUUAUUAAUUUAAGAGGGUUAGUGAGGUUUGUAAAGAAAAGGAUGCGACACUAAGCGCCCGAUUGUGCGUCAUAAACGCACCUCACGCUCAACGCUCAGGGCUCGCCUAAUAGUUCCUAUGAAAUCAUGUAUUGAAUUCACUAACUUGCAUUGUUGACUCUCAAAAUUCUUUAACAAAUGAAUGAUUAAAAUUCUUUUCGUCUAAAGGAAUAUGAAAAUUGUGAAUAACUCAAAUAAAGAACCAUGGUAUUGCAUAUUUACUAACUGAGAACAUCGUGAAGGUGAAUAAUAUUCUUUGAGCAUUUUUUCUGAAAAUAGAUAACCAAAAUUUAUAUCCUUAGUUGCUAUAUCUUCGUGUCUUAAUUUUGUGUCUCUCAAAAUUAUUAUACAUUAAUUUCUUUGCCAUUUAAAAGUAAUUUUGCAUUUACUCAUGAAGUAGUAAUAUUUUAAAUUACAGUAUUGAUAAAAUUAUAGUGUAUUUACUUUUACAAGGUAAUUAUGUUGUUUGAUAAUAUUUAUUAAGAAAUUAUGAUUUUUAAUUAUUUGAAAGUUAAGACGUUAUAGUUGAUUUAUAUUUCAUUGUAACUUUAACAGUAUUACAUUAUUUAUACCUGUAAAAUAUGCAAGAUAUUUUUAAUUCUUGAACUUUUAGUGUAUUUCUUUUAUAUAUUUUUGUGUUAUAAUGUUAUAUUAAUUUAUAAAUUAAUAAAAUAAACAUCUCUGGAGCUUAAGCCCCAUGUCUCGAGGCUUACAUCUCUUCCCGUCUCAAGUAAAAUGCCUCGCCUAAUACCCGCCUUUUAAAACACUGCAUUCAGAACAAUUACACUAUCGCAAAUAAUUAUAAAAAAAUUCUAUUAGCAUGGUUUAUUAAAUUAGUAACUAUUAGGAGGUAAUCAACAACCAUUAUGUUCUCCUCCUGAUCAAAACUUGACAGUUCUUUAUUACAAUCUGAAUUCCAACAUGGAUAGUUGGCAUACAAGCUGGAUUUAUAACAUUAAAAAUCUUAGAAGCACAAUAUAGGGUACCUUCUCUUUCAAUGAUCUCUAUCUAAAAAUUAAAGACAUCUAUAAUAAUCACGAUUGGAAUCUCGAUAUUUUAUCAAUAGAAAUACCUGAGGAUAUUAAAGAAAAUAUUUAUAAGGUUAAUAUUCGUACUAGGGGUGCGCGAUGCGACACACACAUUUGUUCAAGAAAUACAAAGGGUGUUUUCACUACAAAAUCUUGUUAUGAAUUAAUUGAAUCAACGAAAGACAGUGAUAUAGAUUUCGAUUGGAUUUGGAAAUUAAAUUGUCCAAAAAAAAUUCACUUCUUCUUAUGGCAAUGCCUCCACAAUAGACUUCCAUGUAGAGCAUACCUAGCACAUAUAGGGAUCAAUAUAGACCCCACGUGUCCAAUAUGCAAGACAAAAGAAGAAUCUAUUGAGCACAUUUUCUUUGAUUGCAAAGCAACUAGUGCCUAUUGGAAUAACGUGGGAUGGUCAAAAUAUUGUAAUCUAACACAAACAAAUUGGCUUACUAAAGUAAGAAAUUUUAAUCUCGACUUACAUCAUAGUUGUAUCAACUGGAAUGGUCUUUUCCCUUUCCUUCUAUGGAACAUUUGGAUUAAUAGAAAUAAUAAUAAUCAAAACAAUACCUCAAACCCAAUAAAUAUUGAAUUCACCAUGCAAAGGGCCAUAGAAUACAAGUUGCUAACCGAGAAUCAUCACUAUCCUCUCAAAAAAACAGCAAUCAACAUAAAAUGGUUUAAACCCCAAAAAGGUUGGUAUAAAUUAAAUAUUGAUGCUAGCUACAAAGUAAACCACAAGAGCGGCCUGGGAGGCGUAUUUAGGAACUCCAAUGGGAAUUGGAUAGUAGGAUUGACAAAAUGCACUACAAAUAGCUCAUUAGAAGCAGAACUAAUGGCUCUACAAAAAGGACUACAAAUUGCUCAAGAAUGAAAUUUGUUCCCGCUGGAAGUGGAAUCGGACUCCACUGAGGUAAUACAGUCCAUACACCAAGACAAUAAAAUGUAUAAUAAUAUUAUUAAUACAUGCAGGUUGUUAAUCCACCAAAGAAAAGAAGUGAUCCUCAGGCACGUGUUCCGACAA